GUGGUGAGGAGGGAGCUGCCGAGCAAGAGAACUCGAAGAAGACCAGAGAGAAAGUUGAUAGAUGUAGUGAGGGAAGACAUGAGGGCAGUUGAUGUCAGAGAGGAGGUUGCAUGAGGUGUAGAGUUGUGACCGGACAUGGCCCUCAAACAUUUCGGACACCCGAUGUCACGUGUACAACUGCCUUGCCAAAAGUCGUGGGACGCACCAUCGAUUUGGGACGGGUCUGGAAAGGACCAUAUUCACAGGUGUCCCCGAACAUGAUGUCAUGCGACCAAAACGCCAGGAAACAUGAUCUCAGUUUGUUUUCGCCGGAUGUGAUUUUGUUUUUACCGGAUGUGACGUCAUUUCGUUUUUACUGGCUGUGACGUCAAUGGGGACAGGUGGCCCGGGAGGUGACGUCAUCGGACACGUGCGCUGGCACGCUGCCAGGUGUGACGUCAUAGGCAACAAAUCAUUUUGUCCUUUUCCCUAUAUUAAUACUCUCUACUGUGACCAAUGUAAAAAAGGGAGAAAAAGCCUUGUGUUUGUUAUGUUUGCUUCAGUUGUAUUGUACUAAGAAGCUUGGACACAAACGCAUACCAUUUUUCAGUUUGCUGCUCAAUGAGCAAAGUCUCCGGAGAUAUCCUAAAGUCAAAAGUCGAGGACAGCUGUGUCGUCUUGAAAGUGAUGCUUUGCACCACUUUUGUGGCUUAUUUUUGUCAGUCAAAUUCUGAAUUGACAACUUCAGGGAGGGCACAGCUUACCAGCUAUACAUAUUGUAUAUACAACCCCAAUUCCAAUGAAGUUGGGACAUUGUGUUAAACAUGAAUAAAAACAGAAUACAAUAAUUUGUAAAUCAUGUUCAACCUAUAUUUAAUUGAAUACACUACAAAGACAAGAUAUUUAAUGUUCAAACUGAUAAACUUGAUUGUUUGUAGCAAAUAAUCAUUAACUUAGAAUUUUAUGGCUGCAACACGUUCCAAAAAAGCUGGGACAGGUGGCAAAAAAGACUGAGAAAGUUGAGGAAUGCUCAUCAAACACCUGUUUGAUACGACAAUGGAGACCCCGGACUGUUGAACAGCUGAAGCUGUACAUCAAGCAAGAAUGGGAAAGAAUUCCACCUGCAAGGCUUCAACAAUUAGUGUCCUCAGUUCCCAAACAUUUAUUGAAUGUUGUUAAAACAAAAGGUGAUGUAACACAGUGGUGAACAUGACCCUGUCCCAGGUUUUUUUAAACGUGUUGCAGCCAUAAAAUUCUAAAUUAAUGAUUAUUUGCUAAUAACAAUAAAGUUUAUCAGUUUGAACAUUAAAUAUAUUGUAUUCAAUUAAAUAUAGGUCAAACAUGAUUUGCAAAUCAUUGUAUUCUGUUUUUAUUUAUAUUUAAUACAACGUCCCAACUUCAUUGGAAUUGGGGUUGUAUAUAUAAUUUCAAUGUGGUUAGGGUAUUUAAUUUUCCUAAAUUUCAUUAAAUUACAAAAGCAAACAAAAUUAUGCAAUGCUAAAAACAACACUAAAAAAUAUCAUAUUUCUACUAGGGGUGGGACUCAAUUAAAAAAAUUCAUCUAAUUAAUUAGAGGCUUUGUAAUAAAUCAAAAUUAAUCGCAUUUCAACUGUAUAACAAUUUUUGUCCUAAAAAGCAACAUGGUUUAAUUUAAAUAGAUUUUAUUGGACGACUGAAUCAAAUAAUUAAUACUGACAGGAACAUUGUUAACUCUGGAAGAAUGCUUUUAAUUGCAUUUAAAUACAAAACAGCGGCGCGGUGGACCGACUGGUUAGAGCGUCAGCCUCACAGUUCUGAGGACCCGGGUUCAAUCCCCGGCCCCGCCUGUGUGGAGUUUGCAUGUUCUCCCUGUGCCUGCAUGGGUUUUCUCCGGGUACUCUGGUUUCCUCCCACAUCCCAAAAACAUGGAUGAAUUGGAGACUCUAAAUUGCCCGUAGGCAUGACUGUGAGUGUGAAUGGUUGUUUGUUCCUAUGUGCCCUGCGAUUGGCUGGCAACCAGUUCAGGGUGUAUCCUGCCUCCUGCCCGAUGACAGCUGGGAUAGGCUCCAGCACGCCCUGCGACCCUAGUGAGGAGAAGCGGCUCAGAAAAUGGAUGGAUGGAUGGAUACAAAACAGUAGAAAAACUAAUGGAAAAUAUCCCUGGCCAAAAUCAAGCAGACCUAAUGUUAAAGAGUCAUUUUAGAACAGUUUUUUAGACCAGUAUUGCCUAGAAAUGGUUUCUGUGUUGCACCUUUAUCUAGGCUACCAUCGAGCAGUUUUUUUGUUUGUUUGUUUUUUAAUUAAUGAAAUUUGCCUCCCAUCAGUCCUUCCAACACUGUUUCAUCCAAUAUCUCCAUUUUGGUAACUGAGCGCUGAUGUGUGCAUCAGUGUAUUCGGUGUACCAUGAAAUCGUACAAUGACAACGGUUCCGCAUUGUAUGGAACACAAAAUGUGAUUAAAACGUGUUCUUUUUUACUAA